UACGGAGGGAGCUAGCGUUGUUCGGAAUUACUGGGCGUAAAGCGCGCGUAGGCGGCUUUGUAAGUUAAGAGGUGAAAGCCCGGGGCUCAACCCCGGGAACUGCCUUUAAAACUGCAUCGCUUGAAUCCAGGAGAGGUGAGUGGAAUCCGAGUGUAGAGGUGAAAUUCGUAGAUAUUCGCAAGAACACCAGUGGCGAAGGCGGCUCACUGGCCCGAUACUGACACUGAGGCACGAAAGCGUGGGGAGCAAACAGG
rnacentral:rRNA from 1 species